UUGGAAGGAAGAAAUGUGUUGGCAUGAAGAAGGGGCAUGGAUGAGAACUGUAUGUUCUUUCAGCCCCUUGCCUUCCUCCUCUUGAAGAACUUUUAAACUGCAGUCAAGAAAUUUUUCUUCCUUUAAGUGUCCUGUUUUAGACCUUGGGAAAUGUUGAACUUAAUGUACAGUGGAGCCAGAAAAAGAAAGCCAACCCCCUGCUGGCACUUCUGCAUCUGAAAGAGGACAAAAAUUGACACCUGAAAAUUCUGACAUUCUGGAAAACAAAUCUUACUCAUUUUGAGUACAAGUAGGAGGCUGGCAAACAAGAAGACAUUGAAGUAGGAGGAAUGUAGGAAAACUUACCAAAACCAAACCAACAAACAAACAAACAAAAAACCACCCACCUGAGAGGAGUAUUUAAGAACAAACAAAGAGUUUCCCUCUCCUCUUCAAGGGUAUCAGAGACUGAAAUGGUUCAUACUUUAAAGAUUGCUAUGAAGGAUUUUUGCCCAUUAUAGCAAAAACUAUAUAAGAAGCUACAACCACCAAAGCCCGCCCCUCCCUGACGAUGCCUUUGGACUGUGAAUUAAUCUGAUCAGAUAAGAUAAAGGACACACUAUUGUUCAAUCAUCUCAGGUCUAGGGAGAACUAAACAAGGCUGAAGGAGAAGAAUGCAUCCACAAGAAAGCCAAAUCCAGCAGAAAAUCAUCCCUGGCUGGGUUUGGGAUGGGGGAAGCCAUAGCCCACAGAGGCAAGGUUUGCACAGAAUUCCCCCCAACCCCUCAACAAAGCAGAGAGGAGGAGAGUUUUGGGUGUGUGGUGGAACCUCUGGUCAGAGGCAAUGAAUCCAUCAAAGAUCCACCUGAGGGAAGAACCUGGGCAUUCCCACCUGGC